GGAAGUAAAAGUCGUAACAAGGUU
rnacentral:ncRNA from 6 species